GGCCGCAGCUCAUCCUUCCCUCUUUCUUUUUCUCCUGGGCCUUUUUUUCCUUGGCCCAACUUCUCUGCCGACCGAGGCAGCCCAUCCCGUGCACACGUUCCUCGCUUCGUCUUCCUCCGGUCGACCACGCACGCACGCGCCUGUCGUUCCGGUGCACGCCGCCGCCGCUUCGAAUUACCGUUUUCAGCCGCUCCUCUCCAAACCAAAACCGUCAAAUCGAUCCUCAUCACCUCACGAACCUUUCAAUCGUCAGUUUCGUAUCUUUAAUCUUCUUUAAUCUCCCGUUGAAACGGAAGCCGCAUCUGGUAUUCGCCUAACAACUAUCGUAGAGCAUGUGUAUUCGUCGUCUUCCCCGCCGCCCGAGGCCACCAUUCUUGAAGGUGAGCUCGCAAGGUAGCUUCGUUAUGCAGUUCCUUGCAUUCGAGAACUCACGUAAUCCCCGUGGGCUCGAGGCACGUCCCAAGGCGAGUGGUAGGCCCGGCUCCGGACGGCGCGACCGUCCAGGGUGAGGCGGGGCAUCCCGCACCGGCAGCACCAACGUCGACCUCCCUUGGCCACAGCCCAACGGUACGGCGCAACGCGCCCCAAGCGGCAGCGGCUCACUCCAAUUAUUGGAGUCCAAUUGACUCCAACGGCGCUCAUCCUCCGUGACCUCUUCCUCCCCAAUCCCAAACAGGAGGAGAGCUGGGGGCGCCUACAUCAGAAUUUAAGUCCAAGCACUGUGGUUUCAAGCGUCAAGAUAUUGGAUUUGAUGGUGAAUUUUGGUGUCUUCGAGGAGUUUAAGAUGCUGGACAGCUUCCUCAGAUGUUUUCCCAAUGUUGACACUUUGCAUAUCCAGGUUCUCACGAGUUCAUUCAGUAUUUUUUUUUUUCAACAUGUGAUCUCACCCCUUUCCAUUUCCUAAACGGAAAUACAACGUUGUCCACCGCAGCAGCACCAUAAGAGCGAGGGGGAGGGGAGCAAGCAGGUUUAAACUACCGGAGCAGGAAACUCACUGACCAGCCCGCAAUCGGGAACUGACUAUGAGACAAAAACCUGGCCCCUAAUCUAGCCCUAAAGCAAGUUCAGACAGAAUAACAUCCCAAGUUAUCAUACAGGAACAACACAAGCAACCAACAACUAGCCAAAAGAGCUGACAGUCCUUCAUCACACCCACUUCAAGUGAUCACACAUCAAGAAGAUGGUUUUCCACAAAUCGGAGGGAAUCAAAAUGAAUUUGAGUUCCUCAAGUUCAUUGCCACGAAUGCGCAGGAGUUGCGGUCUUUGCUGGCUGUAUUACAGGAAGAAAAAAAUUGCUUCCACGGGCAUGAUGAAUGAGCUUAUACAAAAAUUGCGGUGUCGAGGAAUGCUUGGAGCUUCGAUAAAGCAUUCUAUCAAAAUGUUGACGACUCUUUUUGUAUGGAUUAUCAUCUUCAUUAGCUAUAUGUUUACAUGAUUGAUCCGAACCUUGGGGGAUCAUCGACUGUUCUACUGAAAGAUGUUCUUGUUUAGUUUGUA